UACGGGGGGGGCAAGCGUUGUUCGGAAUUACUGGGCGUAAAGGGCUCGUAGGCGGCCAACUAAGUCGGAUGUGAAAUCCCCAGGCUUAACCUGGGAACUGCAUCCGAUACUGGAUGGCUUGAAUCCGGGAGAGGGAUGCAGAAUUCCGGGUGGAGCGGUGAAAUGCGUAGAUAUCAAGAGGAACACCUGAGGUGAAGACGGGUUGCUGGGCCGACACUGACGCUGAGUGCGCGAAAGCCAGGGGAGCAAACGGG
rnacentral:rRNA from 1 species